GGGUGCGAUUAUACAAGCACUAAUGCACCGCAUCCCAUCAGAACUCCACAGUUAAACAUGCUUGGGCGAGAGUAGUACUAGGAUGGGUGACCUCCUCGGAAGUCCUUAUGUUGCACCCC
rfam:Populus trichocarpa scaffold_1006_contig_2, whole genome shotgun sequence.